UGGGGAAUUUUGGACAAUGGGGGAACCCUGAUCCAGCCAUCCCGCGUGUGCGAUGAAGGCCUUCGGGUUGUAAAGCACUUUUGGCAGGAAAGAAACGUCGUGGGUUAAUACCCCGCGAAACUGACGGUACCUGCAGAAUAAGCACCGGCUAACUACGUGCCAGCAGCCGCGGUAAUACGUAGGGUGCAAGCGUUAAUCGGAAUUACUGGGCGUAAAGCGUGCGCAGGCGGUUCGGAAAGAAAGAUGUGAAAUCCCAGAGCUUAACUUUGGAACUGCAUUUUUAACUACCGGGCUAGAGUGUGUCAGAGGGAGGUGGAAUUCCGCGUGUAGCAGUGAAAUGCGUAGAUAUGCGGAGGAACACCGAUGGCGAAGGCAGCCUCCUGGGAUAACACUGACGCUCAUGCACGAAAGCGUGGGGAGCAAACAGGAUUAGAUACCCUGGUAGUCCACGCCCUAAACGAUGUCAACUAGCUGUUGGGGUCUUCGGACCUUGGUAGCGCAGCUAACGCGUGAAGUUGACCGCCUGGGGAGUACGGUCGCAAGAUU
rnacentral:rRNA from 1 species